AGCAGCCGCGGUAAUUCCAGCUCCAAUAGCGUAUAUUAAAGUUGUUGCAGUUAAAAAGCUCGUAGUUGAAUUUCGGGAUCAAAUUGUUGGUCGUGCCUCGGUACGCACUGGUAUUAUUGGUUCCUACCUUCUGAAGAACCGCGAUGUCAUUAAUUUGGUGUCGUGGGAAUCAGGACUGUUACUUUGAAAAAAUUAGAGUGUUUAAAGCAGGCUUACGCUUGAAUACAUUAGCAUGGAAUAAUGAAAUAGGACGUUUGAUUCUAUUUUGUUGGUUUCUAGGAUUGACGUAAUGAUUAAUAGGGAUAGUUGGGGGCAUUAGUAUUCAAUUGUCAGAGGUGAAAUUCUUGGAUUUAUUGAAGACUAACUACUGCGAAAGCAUUUGCCAAGGAUGUUUUCAUUAAUCAAGAACGAAAGUUAGGGGAUCGAAGACGAUCAGAUACCGUCGUAGUC
rnacentral:rRNA from 1 species